CACUCUGCUUGGUGGGAAGAUUGACUGAGGAUGUAAAUUGGCUAACUAGCUGCUCGUUUGCUUCUCCCUCUU